CCGGAGCCUUUCCAGCAGCGGACCAUCUGCUGGCAUAACUGCGGUGCCCGUUCCCAAGCCCAUGCUACCGAGUGCUUGGGCGGUCUGGAUGAUGGGGAACUUUUAGCCCCGGGGGCAAGGGCCAACGUUAGUGGCUUGCUAAUCCCUAGCCUGUGCCUUGCGAGCCAGGUGGAGGAGGCUGCACAGAGUGGGGUGGAGCAGCCAACCAGUGUUACCAGCCCCCCCCACCCACCGAGGCUCAUGGGCCGGGCUCUAGCUGCUCUGGGGGAUGCACACGUUACUGUUCCGCACAUAUUAAACUCUUGCACCACUGAAUGGAGUUCAAAUACCUGCCGGCUGAGUCGCCGCUUCUGCAGCUGCUUCCCCAUGACCUAGCAGGGUCCCGCACUCCAGCUCUCCUGCCCCAGCCCCACCCUGGCUGGGCCCUCCAUCCCCGGGGCCACUCCUCACCGGUUGCGGAUGCUGACAGUCCAAGCCUCCAGAUAAAAUUUAAACUGAUGUGUUGAUGUCCCAUCAAGAACACUUUAUGUUGAUGUCGCAUGAAUAACACUUAGCUCUCACAACGGGCUAUAGAAGAAACUCCUUCCGCCCUGAUAAAGCUUCCUGAAGAAGGAGGCUUCAACCAGAACGUGGGCUGUGGGUGAUCCAGCAUAUAAGGACAUGGGAUAUGCUCAUGUAAUCCAGGACUCCACCUUGGGUCAGGAACUUUCCGUGCACCUGGGCUGUGAGCUCUCUUCGAGACAGUAGAUUUCCAGGCAAAUGCCAGAGGAUAUAAAAGAUCCCUCCGCUAUCUCUAUUUGGCCAUCUAUUUCCUGCCCUGAUUCUCUGGACUGUGGCUUUACAAUUCAAAGGAAUAUUUUGAAUUAUGGACUGAAGACUUUCCAAUCUUUUGGAAGUUACCAGAGAGACUUUAUAAGCCAGCGAUCUGUUCUAUCACUGCUACAGAUCUGAUAUAAGGACUUUGUGAUCAGUUAUAUAUAGAUGAUCUGUUAACAGUAAUUAAUCCUCAUCUUUUCUUUUAUAAUCAAACCCUUAGCUAUUUAGAUAUUUAGUUACUACAGAAUUGACCCUAGCAUGGUUACUGGGUAAAAUUUGGGUUAUACAUAGAUCUAUAUGUGUGACUGAUCGCUUUGAAUUAAAAGGCCCCUUUGUUCGAUGAAAUUUUUUUUCACUCC